rnacentral:ribozyme from 1 species
AUCCAACAGAAGAAAGAACCAAGAAGUCGAAGAAGAAAAUAAAAAGAAAGGAAGAAUUGCUCCGCGGCGAUGAAGAAGUUGAAGUCGAAUGAUGAAAAUUGUCUUGGACUGGACGAAUUCUGAUCUUAUUUCUUCUCUUCUUCU